rnacentral:tmRNA from 1 species
UGCCAGCGACGGUUGGCUAUGGCGAUAAACGGCGGUUGGAAUAAGCGUUGUGGACCCGGGGGCAGUGCCCGGCGCCUCCACCAUAGGGGGGCGAAACAGGCUCGACACGCGCGGUAAAGAUCCGCUUUUCGCCCGGCAUGGUUCCGCCGUUAUCGGGCCAUUCGACAAGUGCCAACGAUAACGUCAAGGCGCUCGCUGUCGCUGCGUAAGCGAUAAGCGCGGUUCGGGGGGCACCGGGCAACAGAAGCCCCCCACA